CUUGCUACCCCAAGGUGUAGGCCAACUACUGUCUCCAUGUAAGCUUCCUUUCUCUUGAAGGAAAGUCUUUUAAUAGGGGUCUUUUAAAAGGAAGUCUGAAAUUAUUAACUUAUUUGAAUUAAAUUUAUUAUUCAUUCUUAACCCAAAUACCACUUUAUGGCUAAAUAUUAUUAGAUUAGCUAAUCGUAUUAGCCAAAACCAGGGAUUCCAACUAUAAAGACUUCCACGACUAUAUACCUCAGUCAUAAUUGUAACUUCUUCCAUUUCAUUCCGGCUUGAGAUGUAAAUCUGCUUUUGAAAAUACGAGAUUAAGAUUAUUUGAAAUUGAGUAUAACUUAUACAUGAUAUAGAAGUUAGAAGCUGUUUGGCUAUGAAGAGAUGAAGAAGUGUUUGCAUAUACUUUUAAGAAUCACCUUUUGGCUAUAUUUGGUUAUGAUAUACUGCCUAGAGAGAUUUUUAAAUUUGGAAAUUUAUGAUGAAUAUAAAAAGAAUGAUAAAAUUUACUCUAUAAUGAGACAUGAUUCCUUGUGAAUUAGUAAAACAGCUAGUUUUAUAGAGCAUGUUAGAGGACCAAUGGCCUCAAGUUAAGAUUCUAUUAAAGUGAUUUUUUUUUUGUAGAAAAAGAUUUUUUGCUCAUUGUAGAAAAAUACCAUUAAACAAAAUGAUCAUCACCACUACCACCCAUAAUCCCUUCUUUUAGAGAUGAACAGCUACCACCUUUGUUUAUAUCCUUAUACGCCAUCUGCUAUAUCUUUGUCUGUCUGUCUGUCUCUCCUGCCCACCCUUCCUCCCUCUUCCUCUUUCCCUUCCUUGCUCCUUUUCUUCCUCUGUCCUUCGCUUCUUGCCUCUCUCCUUCCACAUGUCUCAAAUGACAUUGUAUCACGUAGGCUGUAUGAUGAAAUGCCUUUUCUUGGUGCAUCUGCAUUAGGAAAGACUAAGAAUUUUCUGGUUAGUAAUAAGCACCAUGAAGCAGGAAACAGGCAACCCAACACAGAUAGCCUGAAACACAGGGCCUCCUGUUUCAUUUAUUCACACUCACACCCACUCGGACGCAUAACAAAUUAUUAUAAGCCAUAGAAAGGGUUUUGAUAUCAGUCUUCAGUUCUUCACUAAGAAACCAGUGAUAACUCUUAACAAUGUGAAUGAGACUAAAAUAAUGUUUCCAAGCAUCUAUUCUUUCAAGUUCUGGGAAUCCUCUUCUGUGUGCUAAAAUGUCUGCUUCUUGUUUAAGGAGAAUUAUUACCAAUCACAGAAAGUUCUUGGACUAGACUUUUCUGAUACAGAUGCUGAAAUUUGAAGCAGUUAAGUUUAACUGCUUGCUCUACCAGUUAUGAGGAACGCCGUAAUUCACUAUGUUUUUUUUCCAAGUCUGUCUGUUCGUUUGUUUUAUUUUCUACUGCUUGAGUUCUCCUAGAGGUAAUCAAGGGACUGUUGUGUAGCAGAGUUGGUUGAGAGCAUGACUCUUGAGCCAGACUGUGUAGGUUCAGUUCCUUGCUCCAUCUGACUUGUGUAGUGGUCUUGGGUAAGUCACUUAGCCCCACUGUACCUGAGGGUUCUCAUCUUAAAGUCGGGAUAACAAUAGUACUUACCUCAUGGGGUUUUGGUGAGUAUUGAAUGUCUGCCAUAUUGUAAACAUGCAAAUGUCAGCUGUUUUUAUUAUUUAAAUAUGAGCUGUAAAGAUCACAUAUGGUAGGAUUUCAUUUAUAUGAACUGUCCAGAAUAGGCAAAUCUAUAGUGAUAGAAAGCAGAUUUGUGUUGAGUACAGCUAGAAGACUUGAGGGGAGUGAGGAGUGACUGCUAAUGGGUGUGAGUUUUUUUAGGUGUUGAUGAUGUUCUAAAAGUAAUUAUCAUGAUGGCUGCACAAGUCUGUGAAUAUACUAAAAACCAUUGAAUGAUAUACUUUAAAUAUUGAGUUGUAUAGGAUGUAAAUUAUAUCUCAGUUAAGCUGUUAUAAAAAAAAUAUGACCUGGAAACAGAUCUUUGUUGCACAGUGGCAUGGUGUUUCUUGUGUUAACACCAUUAAACACCCCUCUGGUUGCCACGUCUCAGGAAUGUUACUGUUUUUGGGGGUACAUAGAUGUACAUUGAAAGAGAACAUCAGGAAACUUCUCUUUUUCUCAGGUGUGUUUGAAGGAGGAGUGUUCCCUUGGAGAAUGACAGAAUGGAGAAUAUGCAGGGGUACUGCAAAGCUUGUCAGCUCUCUUUCCAGAAUUUUCAAACUGCAGUUUAGAAUAUGCAUACUCUUAGUUCUGAGACAGUACACUUAAGAAUUAGAAGGGAAGUAAUAGAGGAAGCUACGAUAGAAGUCACAAGUAUAUAUGAGAUUGUAUUAUCAUAACAUUGUCCUAAUAAGACUGAAAUUUGUUUUUGAUACUUAAUGAGUUAGGAUUCUUUUACUUGGUAGUAACAUUUGAAAAGUACUGUCUAAAAAAAAUUUUCUAGGAUUGCCCAUGAAGACUAAUUUCAGAAAUGUAGAUAUGGUACGAUAUCAAAGGUAUGUAUUGAUUGGAGGAAAACAAGUUGAAGAAUGAAAAUAAAUUUAUUUAUAUAAAAUGUUUAGGCUUAUAGUGAAUACGUUCUCAAAUAUAAGUCUGAUGCAUUCCUGUGGAUCAGAAUGAAUAGUCAUAGGUUGCCAUUUAACGAUUGUGAUCACGAGAAUGCACUUUAAAUAUCUAUGAAGUCCGCACAUUCCAAUUUAGUUUGAGUGGAAAUUAAAUGUACAGUCUUUGGAAAUAUAAAUGAUCAGUUCAUAACUUGAUUAUAUUUUGAGUAUAUAUUUCAUAGAUUAUAUAUUGAUAUUGAUUAUAUUUUGAAGAAGAAUUUUACUAUAUUUUCUAUUUGUUUUGGGGGGAGGUGUUUCAAAAUCAUUGCCCUUGCCAUAGAAAAUUAUUGAAAUAAAUAGAAGGGCAUAGGAGGAAAUUAUAUUAAUAUUUAUAUCAUAUAUAUCAUGUUUUUUCCUCUUCCAUGAUAUAUUCUAGGUAUUUUUCAAAAAUCACAGGUAGCAAAAAUAUGCAAUAUUUGGAUUUAUUCCAAUCUGUAUCCUUAGAACUUCAAAUAAAAUAUCCAUGUAUGGAGGCUUAUUUUUUAUGCUGUAUAGGUUCAGUGACUGGACUUAUUGGGAGAGGAAGUACAUCACUUAAGAGCUCUGCUGAGCUGAAAUUCACAGUAAAACAAUAAUUUCCAUCAUUAUCAAUUUUCAGCAUAGAGUCUGUUUCUAACGUGUACUGAGUCACUGAACCAGGAAGGUGUUUACCUGCAAGGUGAGCUGAUGAAAUGGGAGAAGCUUUUAAGUUCUAAAAUUUCAGUCAGAGUCUUCCCUAGAGGAAGGAAGACAUGGGUCUCCUCCCUUUUUUAUAUUCUCUUGUCAAUCACAAAGCCUCUUUGUACUGAUGGGGCCUUGAUGGUGACUGAGUGCUGACUGUUGAUCAUAGUCUUGUCAUCCUAACAUGCAAAAUAAGAGGAGGAGGAGAGCAUAGCUUUGGGUUCUCAGGCCUUAGAGAGUAAGUUGAUGUGUCAGCCCAGGACCUCUGAAUCCAAGCUGCCCUGGAAUGCUUUCUAAAGUGAUUUGAUCACUGAGUAGAGUAUGUAAUUCUUAUGAUUUUUAGCUCCUUAGUCUUGUUCAGAACAAGAAUGAUAUUUAAAAUCAGAGGAUGGAAGCAAUUGAGCUUAUCAGAUUUGAUUUCUUCUAUCACAAAACAUUAAGCUCUCUAAUAUUUGUAAGCACAAAUGUUAUAUUAACUUCUGUUUCUUGCUCGAAUGCUAAAAAAUGGUUUUUGAAUUGGAUAAUUCCCAAUUCUAAUAUUUUGGAUAAACCUUCCAUGCAGAGUAUCAUCUUAAGAUAUUUUCAAAGGUUCCUAUGGAAGGUAAGACUGUCCUCAUCUUACCUUUUAAAACCACCAGCAGCUUUUAACAUGUGUGAAACACGUAGGAAGAUUUAUUAUAGCAAGCCAAUCUUGCUGAAAUUACUUGAGUCCUGAGAAUUUUAUAACUUAUUGAAGUUUUUGAUCACUCUACUGAAGUUGUUGUCUAUUUCUUUUGGAUCUGAGCUUUACGUCCCUUAUAAUUUUCUAUUACAUUUUAAUGAUUAAGAACAACUGUGUGAAUAAAUAUAAGUUGGAAUGAUAUAGCUUUCACCUUCUUAAAAGAAUAUAGGCCUAAUGAAAUAGUGUUAAUUUUUAAAUUUUUCUUUGCAAAAGCGGAAAUAAAAUAGUUCUGAUAAGGAUAAAAAAAGAAAGGUUUUGUUUGUUAUCAAGUGAGAUUUUAUUAAUUCCUAAGUAUAUGCUUGUUAAUAUUCAAGAGGUAUAAAAUGAACUGUUACAAAUUUAAGUGUCUGAUGUAAGGACCAAAAGUGAGUCCUCAAAUUUUAACUUGCACACAAAUAAGUUAGGGAUCUAACUGAAAUGCAGAUAUGACUCAGUAGCUCUGGGAUGGGAUGUGAGCUUCUGUAUUUCUAACAAGCUCCCAGGUGGUACCAGGGCUGCUGGUCCUGGGAUCACACUCUGAGUAGCAAGCUGUAUGUCACCUCAAGAAGUAAAUAAAAUUUUCCUUAAAAUCUGUUAAAAUAAAUCCAGAGAAUUUAAUCCCAUGGUCUCUCUUGGCAAUCUAUUCUAGUAGUUCACAGCGUAGAGAGUCAAAUUUUCCCCAGACAUCUUAAAUCUCUGUAACAAGAGGGAAUGGGCUUACCCUAAAGUCCUUUUAUCACCUGACGUGGAAGACAGCUAUUCAUAUAAUUAUUUUAGAUGCUCAAAGAUUAUGGUGUCCCCUCUCCUCCCUCUUACUUUCUUUCAGCAUCAGCCUCCUUUAGCAUUUCAGUACAUAUUUUACUUUAUCAUCCCAACUUAAACUGCAAAUCUAUGAAGGGAGAAAUGAUGAGUUGGUUAUUCAGUAGGUGAAUUGAUGAGAGAUUUUUCUGAUCUAAAAUUUAUCAUUUAUCAAUCUAUGAAACAAAAAGACUAGGAGAAACAAAUCUUCUCUUUUUUAAAAAAAUAUGUUACUUAUACAAGUAAUACACUACUGAGUUCUUUUGAAAAAAAUUCAAAUAAUCAAAACUAUGUAGCAUAAAAAGUGAAAGUUUUUACCCCUUUAUCUGGCUGCUUCUUCCUGCUUCUCUUUUCAGUUGAAACUAUCUUAACAGUUUGGCAUACAUCCUUCCAGAAUUCUGUCUGUACAUACUUAUAUACCAUGUCUAUAUUUAUUUUGAAAAAUAGGAUUACAUACAAUAUAUUUUUCUGCAGUGUUUUACUAUUUAAUAAUAUGACUUAGGGUUCUGUCCGUAUGUCACUACACAUAGAUCUACCUCAUUGUUUUUAGCAGCUGCAAAAAAAGACCCCCAAAACUAUAAAUAAUUCUUUAAGCCCUAAUAACAGACAUUAUACUGUUCUAGUUUUUCACAUUACAAAUUGUACAACUGUGAACAUUCUUUUUAAAAUAUCUUUGUGCACAUGUUCCAGUGUUUCUGUAGGUUAGAUAGUUACCUGCAAAUGGGUUCUCAGGGUCAAAUAUACAGACAUAUUUAAUUUUCAUAGAUACUGCCAGAUUAUCCCCUACAAAAGGCAGUACCAAUCUACUUUCCCUCCAAGAGUGUUUGUUAAUCCUCAAUCCUAGUUCACGUCGGUAAUUUUUACCUUUGUCAGUCAAAUGAGCGGAAAGGUUAUGCCUCAUUUUUGUGUUUCUUUGUAUUUCUCUGGUAACUAGUGAGGUGGAACAUCUUGUCAUCAGUGCAUUAGCCAUUUGGUUUCCUUCCCUUUACCUAUUCUUUAUUUUUUAAUUUAUUGUGCUGAUUUGUAGGAGCUCUUUAUAUGAUAUCUGUAUUCAUUUUUGCUUGUUAUAUUGCUGUAUCAGUCAGCUGUUGUGUAAACAACCACCACAAAAUCUUAGUGGCAUAUGACAAGCAAGUUGUCCGGACCAGCUCCGUGUCACACUGCAGGUGUGUGGGUCAGUCAGGGCAGCUCCCCGUCACACUGCAGGUGUGUGGGUCAGUCAGGGCAGCUCCCCGUCACACUGCAGGUGUGUGGGUCAGUCAGGGCAGCUCCCCGUCACACUGCAGGUGUGUGGGUCAGUCAGGGCAGCUCCCCGUCACACUGCAGGUGUGUGGGUCAGUCAGGGCAGCUCCCCGUCACACUGCAGGUGUGUGGGUCAGUCAGGGCAGCUCCCUGUCACACUGCAGGUGUGUGGGUCAGUCAGGGCAGCUCCCCGUCACACUGCAGGUGUGUGGGUCAGUCAGGGCAGCUCCCUGUCUCACUGCAGGUGUGUGGGUCAGUCAGGGCAGCUCUGUGUAACACUGCAGGUGUGUGGGUCAGUCAGGGCAGCUCUGUGUAACACUGCAGGUGUGUGGGUCAGUCAGGGCAGCUCCGUGUCACACUGCAGGUGUGUGGGUCAGUCAGGGCAGCUCCCUGUCACACUGCAGGUGUGUGGGUCAGUCAGGGCAGCUCCCUGUCACACUGCAGGUGUGUGGGUCAGUCAGGGCAGCUCUGUGUAACACUGCAGGUGUGUGGGUCAGUCAGGGCAGCUCCCCGUCACACUGCAGGUGUGUGGGUCAGUCAGGGCAGCUCCGUGUCACACUGCAGGUGUGUGGGUCAGUCAGGGCAGCUCUGUGUAACACUGCAGGUGUGUGGGUCAGUCAGGGCAGCUCUGUGUAACACUGCAGGUGUGUGGGUCAGUCAGGGCAGCUCCCUGUCACACUGCAGGUGUGUGGGUCAGUCAGGGCAGCUCCGUGUCACACUGCAGGUGUGUGGGUCAGUCAGGGCAGCUCCCUGUCACACUGCAGGUCUGCGGGUCAGUCAGAGCAGCUCCGUGUCACAUUGCAGGUGUGUGGGUCGGUCAGGGCAGCUCCCUGUCACACUGUAGGUCUGUGGAUCGGUCAGGGCAGUUGUGUUCCCCAUGUGUUUGUUCUGAUGCCUGAGGUGAGGGGAGGAAAACUAUGCAGGGCAAGCUAUCCUCAUGUUAGUGGCGUGAGAUUCAUUUUCACUAAUGUCAUCUUAAAAUAUCGAUGUAUGUAUACCUUAAGUACUCUAUUUGAGCCUCGCACACACAAAUGUCUGCUCAUUUACCAAAGCAUUUUCUUUGAGUAUGUGUUCCCUCACUGCACUUCUGAGUUGUUUUUGUUGUAUAAACGAUACUUAUAAGGUAUUGUCUUUUCAAAGCAUUCAACUCAGUUUCCAUGGAAACAACUUUCUUCCUUUUUGGUUUAUGUAGUCGUAUGUAGAUCAGUUACAUGAUUACAUUAACAAAUACAAAUAAUGUGAACACAUUUAGGGGCAAAUACAUUGACUCUUGGCAAGCAUGUAACUCAACUCGUGUGAACAAAUGUUUUGUGGCUGUGUUUGGGAGUGGUGUUUUUAUCUUUGAGUAAUUGAUAUGAACAUUAGAAUGUUUUACAGAGAGAAAAUAGAGAAGCUAAGUUUGUCUUUUUAUCUGUAGUCCCUUACAUAGAGAUUGGAUAAGAGAAUAUUUACUGUAAAGAUCACAUUUUAAAAAUAUUUACUAACUUCUGAUGCCACGUCUUUUGUCUCUGUGGUAUCAUCAUCAUUACCUUUUUAAAAAUCUUUAAGGAUUUCUUCCAUGUCUUAAAGCUCUCAAAAUCUGGCUUCUACUUUUUUCCCCCCUUGUUAUUUGUCUUAGUGGAGCCAGACUUCAGUCAUCCUUUUUUACUGUAGGAACUACUUUAUAUAUUUAACGUAUAUCUUGACACUUAUUUAUGCUAGCCUAAAAAGAACUGAGGUUCAAGAAUUCACGGACUACAUGCAGAUUUAGUUUCGUUUUAAAGUCAUUUGAUAUGUUGCAAAAUUCCGUAAACAAAAGUGUUUUCCUUUAAAGUGAGUAGUACCAGUACUUAAUGUUUCAGAGGAUCAUGGAGUUUUAGAAUAGGAAGCAAAUUAGAGAUCAUGUAAUACAGCUUCAUCACUUUUCUGGUGAGGAAACAGAAUCUCUGAGGAUUUUUGUGACUUGUCUUAGCUCACAGCAGUUAGGGACAAAUGUAGAAGUAGAAUUUUGAAUAAUUUACUUUAAAAUACCAUUAAUUAUUUCAAAACAAUUGAAUAUUUUGAAACUUAUGUGAGGAACAUGGCAAAAGAUUCAGUAUUAUUUUUGUGCUCUUAAAUAUUACAACGUGAUGGAAAGCCUUUUUGAGAGGAAAGAUGAGAUUAAACAGAUCUAGAAGUUAAGGAAGUUAGAAGUUUGGUCAAAAAAUUUUUAAUGCAUAUUUUGGGUUUUGUGUAUAAAAUAGUUUUAACUAUAUGAGAAAUGCCAUCUCAUGGGAUUAUUAAUCUUUCUAUUUGAAAUAAUAAAUAUUUCUGAUCAUUGCCAUUAGAAAUCUUUGAAAUUCCUUUCUUGUGACUAGAUUUGAAAUCAGAAGGGAGGAUAAAGGCUAUAUUGUAGUCAGAUGGCUAUACUUUCUGUUUCUGUGUUUCAAUCUCUUUCUUUCCUUCUCUUUCUCUCCUCCCUCCCCCUUCUCCAUCCUGUUUCUUCUCUAAUCUUUUUGUUUUUUUGUUUUCUGGUUUUUUGACCUAAUAUAUAAUGUCAAGGAAACAACUAGUAGUGCACUAUGGCACUUAACAUUAAAUAUCCAUCAUGGCAUUUUAAGUGUGAGAAAUGUGUGUAUAACUGACGUUUCAGAAUGGAAUUAAAUUUAUGUUGCUACUUCCUUAGGCAUUAUUAAGAAUUUCUUAAGAGGAAGAAACAAUACAUUAACAUAUAUUUAUAAUCAUUUCUGAUCUUUUAUCAUGAAUUGAUCACUGUUUUAUGAAAUGUAAAAGAUAGAUAUUGAAGAUUUAUUUGAACAGCAGUUUGUACAUUUUAAGCCUUUCAGUUGUUUGCAUUUUUGCAAUGUAGUUCCAGCCUUAAGCUCACUGGAUAUAGUCAAUUGUCUUUUAAAUGCAAUUUUCCAAAUUUAAGAUACAUGCCUUUUAUCUAGGAAAUCAGGAAUAUCUUAAAUUUUAUUCUGUGUUUAUUAUCUUUAAGGAUGUUAUUUUAUUUCUAGUAUCAAAGUUUUUGUUGAAAAAUAAUUAACUAGAUUUCCAAAGAGAUUUAUAAAAAAGAGAUUGUUGUUUUUUAAAGCUGUGAGCUGUUUGAAGUUUUGUCAGACAAGUCUGAAGCUACGUUGUAGAGUACAGAUUUUACAUUUUCCUUUUUCACAUCACGCUGGCCACAGUAUUAAUAAGCUACAAUUGAAAUAUGAAACUUUGACAGAAAGCAGAAAUUGGAAUGUUACUAACAGCUGUUGUCAUAAAAGAGAUUAACUAGAAUUUUAUUGUGUCUAAAACAUUAUCUUCUCACAAGUCUCCUUUUUUAGAUUACUGAAUUGAAAUUCUUACUCUACUCUGCAUAAUUGCACUUUAACAGUCAAGUAUUGUUUCUUCUUGCUCCAUACAUGGAUGGAUUAAAUAGAUUUUAGGCUGAUCACAGCUACCUUUUAUAAGGUUCUGUUUGUCUAGAAGCAUUCUUUCCAAAUCAUAAUUCCUUUGGAUUUAACUGUUUUUGCUUUAACUGUUGUGUUAAUAACAUCCAGAUCUGCUCUGGGUCUUGACCUCUUGCCCUGUUUCUAGCCCUGCAAAUCUAACUAGGUUCCCUAUCUUGGCGUUGGACUUUUUGUUUAACUUCAGCAUCUCUCUUUUUGCAGCAUCCUCUUCCCAUUGCUUUCUUCACCUGUCACUUAUGUCUUCCUGUAAGUGGUCACCUACAAGGUGGGAACAAUUACACAGGCUACAUCUUGGGCACAGCGUGCUUUCUUUCAGUGCCCAAAUUUAUUUGUAGUAUAAAGUAAUUUUUACAAUGCUGAUGUACCCUAGGUAGAACCUGUCUAUAUUGUCACAUAUUUCCAACACUUUUGUAUGGGAAAUAGUGCCAAAAGUCCCAUUUCUGGGUAUGCAACUUAAGUGAGAGAAGUUUCAAAUUCUUAUGGGAAGAGCUAACAACACACUCGUGAGAGAGAGAUAUAAUGAAUCUGAGGAACAGAUAUUUGUCUAAAUUUUAUCACAUUUGAAAGAGUCAUAUAUUAACAGGAAUUUUAAACGUAAGUAGCAUACAAGCACAUAUAACUUAAAAAAUCCACCCCUCGGAGGUAUUGCGGGUUUGGUUACAGACCACUGCAAUAAAGCAAAUAUUGCAAUAAAGCGGUCACACAAAGUUUUUGGUUUCCCGGUGCAUAUAAAAGUUAUGUUUAUACUAUACUAUAGUCUAUUAAUUGUGUAUUAUGUCUAAAAACAAUAUACCUACCUUAAUUAAAAAAUACUUUAUGGCUAAAAAACGCUAACCAUCAUCUGAGCCUUCAGCGAGUCUGCAGGUGGAGGGUCUUGCUUCAGUGUUGGUGACUGCUGACUGAUCAGGGUGGUGGUGGCUGAAGAUUGGGGUGGCUGUGGCAAUUUCUUAAAAUAAGACAACAGUGUAGUUUGCCACAUUGAUUAACUUCCUUUCAUGAACGGUUUCUCUGUAGCAUGUGAUGCUGUUUGAUAGCAUUUUAUCUACAGGAGAACUUCUUUCAAAAUUAGAGCCAGUCCUCUCAAAUCUUGCUGCUGCUUUAUCAUCUACAUUUAUGUAAUAUUCUAAAUCUUUUGUUGUCAUUUCAACAAUCUACACAGCAUCUUCACCAGGAGUAGAUUCCAUUUCAAAAAACCACUUUCUUUGCUCGUCCAUAGGAAGCAACUCCUCAUCCAUUAACGUUUUAUCACGAGAUUGUGGCAGUUCAGCCACAUCUUCAGGCCCUACCUCUAAUUCUACUUCUCUUGCUGUUUCCACCACGUCUGCAGUAACUUCCUCCACUGAAGUCUUGACCCCCUCAAAGUCAUCUAUGAGGGUUAGAAUCAACUUCUUUCAAACUCCUGUUAGUGUUGCUAUUUUGACCUUUUCCCAUAGAUAGUGAAUCCUCUGUUGGAUCUGGGUAAAGUAAAUUGAAAAACUUCCGCAUAACAUACACCAUUUUAGGUGCCAUUAAGAACAUUCAUGAUUCUUAUUAUUUCUAAAAAAAAAAAAUGUCUAAAAAUCAAUGUACAUACCUUAAUUAAAAAAUACUUUAUUGCUCAAAAAUGCUAACCAUCAUAUGAGUAUUAGGUGAGUUGUAAUACUUUUGCAAAUUGAAGGUUUGUUGCAACCCUGCUUAAUCAAUAAAUGUUAACUCUUGUUAUUGUAAUUGUUAUUUUACCCAAAUACAUUAUUUUAAAAAAUCCAAUUUUAUGGCAUUAUGUAAUGUGAUCAUUCACUGGUUAGAGCAUAACAAUUUCUGUAACUUUAGCAUACAUGGGGAGCAUGUGGUAAUCAGUGUUUCUUGUAGACACAUAUUAGCAAAAAGUAAAUGGUUUAUAUCCUGGGUACCAAGUGAGGGAGUACACAGUUGAACACCGUAAGAGUUCAACAGAAGAGGAAGACACUUUGUGGAAAUUUGAUCUGUCCUUUAAAAGGAUAAUCAAGCAGUGGCAGCUGCAGCAGCUAACGUUUAUCGAGUCCUUACUCUGUGCUCGGUGCUGUGUUAGACACUUUGUGUGCAUUAUUUUCCUCAAAAGUGCUAAGAGAUAUUAUUUGUAGCCUUAAGGAUGAUGAAACUGAGGUUUAAAUGUUUAGGCAGCUCUAUCAAGUGUAGAGCUAGAAUUCAAAUCCAGAUAAAUGACAAAGAAGUGCUGCAAUUAUCUAUGCUUUAAAAUGUUUUUCCUUAUCUAUCAUACAUCUUUGGAGAUAAUGUACACACACACACACACAAUCUCUCUCUCUGUCUCUAAUGGUAUUUAAAAACAAUUUAGUGUUAUUUUAAAUGUAUAUAAAAUACUGUGUAUUUAUGCAGUAUUCUCAAGCAUAAAAUAUAUUCUGCUAGUAAGUUAUAUAGUCUCAGUGUAUAGAAAGAAAAAUAUACUAAGCAUCAGUCUUGGAACAUGAAAGAUUUUGGGAGAAUGUGAUAAUCAGUGUUCAAUUGCACCCCCUCCCAAAAAAGAAUAUUUUACGGAUUGUAUUACUUCAGGCUUUUUAAGUGAGACAUUCUGAAUUACGUUCAGAGGAGCUUGUGCUAAAUAUGUCCAUCUUUUUGGUGGCCUUUUGUAGUUUUGCAAAUGUGGGAAAAGAACUAAUAUCCUAUUAACAAUUUAGAAGUUGUGUUCAGGCUUGAUUUAACCUAACUCUGCAGGCGUAGUACAUUUCAUUGAAAGUAGAGCAUUUGGAGUAGAACUUUUAUUUGGAGAUUUGGGGUGUUUAUAAUGGAUUUUCAUUUUAUUUGUGACAGACUUAAGGGGUGUUAGAUCCAGUGCUGUAGUUUCCACACAGACAGGCUGGAUUCUCUGGUGAGGAUGGAUGGGCUUUGGUUGCCACCUAUGUGGUAAUACCUUUUCUCUUUCAUUUCCAUGGAAAAGGUUGUUUAACAAUUAUUGUCAUUCAUCCCAAAUUUAAUUUGGUAUCAUGCAUACCUAUUGCACAGUUUACUUUCUGUUUUUUCUUUUAAAAACUCUUUGUUAAUCUUGAUGCUUUUUUUUUUGAUAGCUUGCCCUAGCAGGCCAAAACUAUGAAGUGUUUUUAAUUUUCAGAAUGUGUAGUCUUUUGUUCAUUUUAUUUCUUUGAUAAAGAGAUUAUAAACUAUGUUCUUAACUGUCAAGAUGUACAUAACAUAAUUCCCAAGUUAAUUGAACCCUUAUAAAGGGAAUAUGACUUACUGCUUCUCACUAAUACCAGAUAAAAGAAGGCUUUUCUUCUUUGAUGAUUUUUUUUACAGACAUGUUAAUUUAUAUUAGUGCGUUUGUAUUCCGGGUGACUUCUGACUCCUCCUGCCCCCCGUUUGAUAACAUUUUGGAAGUGAAAUGUUGGGGAUCUGUAUCUCUUUUCCACUGUUUGUAUCUGUGUCAGUAAUUUCAGACCAUCCAUCCUGACAUUUUAUUUUGAAUUAGGAGUGGGGAAGACUAUAACUUUAAACUUUUUUUUUUUCCUGCAUCUUGAACAUAGAGUUAGCAAUUUUAUAGUGGGAUGAGCACAAGAUGUAGAAUUAGGCUAAUCUGGAUUCAAAUUCCACUUUCACCACUUACUAGUUGUGCAACCUUGAGCAAUUUAUUUAACCUUUUGGAGCCUAUUUCUGCAUCCAAAAAUACUGAUAAUUUCUCCUUUGCUGAUUGUGUUGAGGAUUAAGGACAAUGCUGGUAAGGCCCCUUUCAGUGCCUGAGACACAUAAAUACUCAGUAAAUUGUGGGGAUUGUGCCACUUCUAUUAAGGAAGAUAUUUUAUCUCAGUUCUGAGGAAAUAUCUGUUAGACCUUGUGAUACUCUUUAGUGCUAAUCACCAAAUAUUUCCAGAUUGCUCCUCCCCCAACCCCCCCACCCCCGCCCUGCCUUGGUCACAUGGUAGGAUUUCACUUCCCUGAUCCUUGAAGCUAAGUGUGACCAUGUGACUAUCUUUGGCCGAAGGAAUAUGAAUGAAUGUGAUACACAGCACUUCUGGGAAGGAGCUUUAAGAGCCCAUGUGUUAGUUGCCAUCUCUCCUUUUCCUGUGUUGCUGAUUUUGAGGAAAUAUGUGUCAAGUUGGAGCAUCCGUCAGCCUGGGUUCCUGAGUGGCUUCCGUGCCCAGAGCCCUCCUGCUGAACUGGCAGCGUGAGCCAGAAAUGAACUUUUAGUGUAUUCUGCCCCUGGGAUUUGGAGGUUUUCUUACUGCUGUAAAACCAUAUCCUGAAUGAUACAGAACUUUUCGAAAACUGCAGUUUUUAUCUGAAUAAAGCAAAGUCUUUACCUGUUGUAAAUGAAGGUUUGACCUUUAGAAAAAAAUUGCUUAUGAUAGUUCUAUUACUCAAAGUUAAUUUUGAGCACCUGGGCCUUUGAAAACAGAAUAUAUUUUAUAAGAAUGUGGUGGUUAAAAGGCACGUUGGAAUCUAGAAGUGAAAUUCUUAAUGAGUAUGCUUAUGGAGUAACCUAGUGGUGGUGGUGGGGUGCACUGCUAGGCAGUAAAGCCUUUGAGUUUCAUUUAAUAUAGAGCACCCAGGCCUGAUAAUGGUGAGAGUAGCUAUGUAACACCACUGAACACGACAGGUCCUGAGAGAAAGGUAAAAGAAGGUUAGGAACUCUAGAUGAAGGUUAUUUUAUAAUAUGCAGCUAGUUGUUGCCACUUAGGUUGCAACUAUGAUUGCCUAUCUGAGCAUCUGCUUUGCAUGCUUUGGGGUUGGGCGAGAAAGCUGCUCAGUUGAUUGAACAGUUUGCCUACAGGUGUGAAAAUGUGCAUCACUUGCUAGCUGCUCAAUCUUCAGUAAGUUCUUUAAUCCUUUUGGUUUUGUUUUCUUACCCAUAAUAUGGUCAGGCUAAUGCCUACUGAUGAUGUAAAGAUGAGGUAAUGGAUAUGGGAUAACAUUAAAUGCUUGUUAGCUCUAUGACAACAACUUAGAAGGUACUAAGAAUUCUGGAGUUUCUAUGCCUUUUUGUUAACUGCAUUUGUUGAGAAAAGGUGGUGCUGAUGCAUUAUCAAGACCUUCCUUUUUCUACGUGAUUUUAGAAAGGAAUAGCUCUGUUCCUUUUCUUGUGAAUAGUAGCCUUUAUAAAAUCUAUUUACUUUCCUUAAUAUCAUGUAAAACUCACUAGACUAUGAGUUUCUUCAAGGGGCAUGAGCUCUUUUUUAUUCCAAAGGCGUAUCAAAUUACCCUAUCAAAAUAGAUCCUCCUUUCCUUCUAUAGUAUAGGCUUUCAGAAAAUAGUACAUUGGAUUGAAUUUUUUCUUUAUCCAGCAGUGUAAUUAUCAUGUUGAUAUUUACACAUGUAAACUCUGCAUGUUUAAAUUAUAGCGAUAUUAUUUCUUACACAUAGUGAUAUCUAUAUAAAUAGAUAUUAGACUAGAAAUCCUCUAGUAAAUGAAAUCAUCAAAAUGCUGUUUGCCUCAAGCUUAUCUGAUAAUAAAAUGUUGUUGAUGAGACACAUUUCUUAUAUCAAAUCCUAUUUUGACCAUUUGAAAAAUCCUUACUUCCUUGUUUUAGGGUUCCCUAAAUAUUGUUGCUAUUUAAGGAAGUGACAGUAUUCAGCUGAAAUUGCAGCAGAGGUUAAAAAAUCCCACAAUUGCAAAUUUAUCCUAAUAUAUGUAAGGAAACUUCAUAUACAUAAUUGAUUCUGUAGAAGUGACAAAAUUUAUAGAUUUAGUAAUACGUAGUUGAAACAUCUUUGGUGACAAAUGUCAAUGUAAAAAAGAUUUAAAAACGAACUUUAGUUUAACCUUAGAAAUAGUCUUGCUUUAUGUUGGAGUAGCCUUAUAGUAUUUUUCAUAAAUUUCAUUCCAUAUAACGAUUGGAUUUCAUACUGUGAGUGAGUGAGGUUGUCUUAUAAUCAGAACAUUGAGUUCUUGAGUAAUUUACACUGCCCUUGAUUAGCAGAUAAAAUGACAGUACAUCAUCCAGAUUUUUGAUCCAUUUGAAAUAACGUUAUAAUAAAAUUCUAAUUAUCAGGUCAUUAUUUUAAUGGUUUAGUAAACCACCAGGAUUUUAUAUAGUAAUAAACGGAAUAAGGGGUAUGAAUAACAUAAGUAUUAGAGUACUAUCCUUUAAGAAAUUUAUAAUAGAAAACAUAUGCUAUUCCAAAAUGGAAAAAUCCAAGAGUUGAUGAGCUAUUUGUUUUAUAAAGAAAUCACUAAUGUUUAAUUUAUAACUUAAAAGUUGUAGAGUUUACUACGUGUACAUGAAAGAUUUCUUGUAUUGCAUGCUCAUGGCUUCUAGCAGUGUCUUAUAAUAGGGAAGAAAAGAAAAUGCUCUGUUUUUCAUGUUUUAACUAGAAUAAGUUAAAGAUAGCAUGUGUUUUUUGUUUUCCGUUAUUCUCUUUUUAAUAGUGGCAUAAUGUUUGUAUUCAAACUCAUGCUAAAUCUUAUCUUCCUCAACAUUAAUAAUGUGUAGCUUUUUUUACCCAUUUUAUCCCAAUAAAAUAAAGAUUUUUAUAGUUACAAGAUCACAGUUAUGAGAAAAAUUACAGUAUUAUUUAGGAAUCUGUGAUAAAAUUUUCUAUCAUUUAGAUAAUAAAAAGUAUCAUGUUAAUUAUAUAAAGAAAAAGAUUAUUGUUGGUAUUCAACAACUGCAGUUCUGAGAAUCAAAUUAUACAGGAGUUGAGUGAACAUCUGAGUCCAUAUGUGCUAUCUGGAAAACAGCCAGUUGUAGCUAAAACAUUUCCUCAUAAUGUUCAUUAACUUUCCAUAGAAAAAGUGUUUUACACUUAGAUCAGCUCUCUUAGAAGGAGGAAUUUUAGAGCUAGAACAAAUAAUAUUUAAUGCUCAUUUUAUAGACCAAUAGUAAGAAAUUCCACCAGAAGCCAAGAUUUUUAGUCCUACACAUCUGGUCAUCAUGAUUUUGGAAUCUUUACACUCUGAUGAUAUGUCUUUGUUAUGACUUUAGAAUGUUUUCUGGCCAACUCAUUAAGCAGAUAUGGAAACGAAUCCUGAGUCAGACCAAGUUCCUAUCAUGCAUGAAGAAUACUGGACUCUUUUCAUCCUUAAAGAGAAAAUUCUUUGGAUGGUUUCGUGGAGCCAUUUUGCCAUAUUGCACAUAAAUGGAGUGUAUCACUCCUCAAUGUUUUCUUGUCUGUUCCUCUUCUUCCAAAAAAAGAAAAUCUGUUUUCUUUCAUUUGAAUGCUACUUUUCAUUAUACUUAGAUCAAAUUUUGAUAAGGAUCUGAAGAUUUCUUAAAAUAAUUGGUAUGCGUCGUUUGUAAAAUAUUCAGAUAUUCUCUUGAAGACAUUUAAUCAGCUGUCAUUUUGAUAUAAUUUAUUUAAAGAAAAUAAAAGAUGCAUUCAACUUUAAAAGAGUUUUUAGGUGGCUUGUAUGGGAUGUCAAAUAAUCAGGAAUAAAUUAUCUGAGUUAAAGACAGAAGUACAGGCUAUUUUGUAGUUCACCUUAUCCCCUGGGUAUAGCUCAUUAUUAAACACUAUGCAAAAAUAUCAGUGGUCAUCGUAUGCAUAGAGAGGAUUUAUUUCUCGUUAAGCAUCUUCCCAGUUUACUCAGAGUAUUCCUUGAGAUACUGAGAAAAUAAUUUAAAAUCUUUCUAUAUGCAUUUAAUGAGGGGUAGUAUUCUGAACUAUCCAUUGAAUAUAUACACUUAUAGUUAAAAGGUUUUAUUGAAAACCUCUUUCUGUUUUUGAACAAAGAUUGAACUUUUUCCAUGACUCAGAGUAAUGAAAAGGAAAUAUUUAUUUUGAGGAUAAGCCAAUUUAUAUAUUAUUGGACAUAACACAGACCACCCAGGCCUGAAGCCUACUAUUUAUAGUUUGGGAUCUUAAAUCUACAUAUGCUCUUGAUGAGCAAGAGCUAUCUUUUUUCCAACUAAAAGUUUUAUGUCUACAAAGGGUAAUAAUUUCAUGUUUCUCCCCCCACUUAGUUAGUAAAAUUCUGUCAAGUAGAUUAUUUUAUUUCCACAGGGGAAAAGAUUUCUUUGGACCUCAGUAAUAAUAACAUUACUAAAUUUCAUCUAUCAAAGGACUAAUGUUUAAUAUUGUUGGAAAACAUAGAGUUAUAUUUACCUUCAAAAUCAGUUUCUUGUAUAAAUAUAUAUAUGUGUGUGUGUGUACACACACACGCAAUGUAACUGGCUUGUUUUUAGUGCGAAAUUUAUACUUUGAUUUGAAGCUCCAUUCUCUGCUACUCAGCCAUCACAUUUUAGAAUUCUUCAAAGAUUGGUUCUAGGCUCUCUUUUUGUCUCUCUCUGUAUUCUCAUUGUAAACAACUUACCCCAUCUUCAUAGCUUUAACUACCAUCUAAUAUAAUAGGGAGUAAGAAAGAGAAAGUGGUGCAAAACAGAAACUAUCAAGCAUGAAUCUCCUCAACCGCACAUUGGAAAGUCAUGUUUGUUAGCUUCUAUGUUUCUCAGUAAAGUAGAAGAUAGGGUUUUGAUGAAGGAUAGAGAGUCAAAGGCAUGAACAAGAUUGAGGAUUUGAAAUAUUUGUUUUGUAUAGAUCAGAGUAAAACGAUAGGAUUGCUGGACUGCGUUCAGAAUCCCUUUGAGGAUGGGGAUCAUAUUUUGUCGUGUGGUUUUCCCUAGCAGCACACCAUUGCUUCAUUAUGGUUUCGGAAAAGGUAGUUUCAUCCAGGGUUGCAGUUUUGCCAAAGGAGAUGAUACAAGGACUGAAUGGAAAAGAAUUUUGGGGUAAUAUAGUUUUUUCUAGAGUCAUGGAAUUUAAGCUGGAUAAGGAGGAGAGUGAAGAGAGAAAGCAUUGAUAGAUGGGAAGAAAUACGAAGCUGAUGAAUUAGAAGUCUCUUAACAGACCAAAGAACCUUCAUGGUGGGAGUAGAUCAUCAAGAAAAUUAGAAGUAAAUGAGAAUGUGAUUAUAAGGUGAACUGCCUGAAUAAAGGGUUCAAGAGCACUUAGGACGGCAAGAUCAUGGUACUAACUGUGGAAGUAGAUGGGUGACAUAAAGUGAAGGAACUCACUGGGAAGGAGAAGGCCAGAGUACUGCAUGGAUCACACAUGUGGGUAUUGACGUCACCCAGAAUAGUGGAAGGAUUUGGAAUUGAGAGAAAGACAGUAAGUUAAGUUCCAAAACCUUUGAUGAAUAAGGGGGAACGAAGGAGAUGUUAGUAGAUACAACAGCAAUUAGGAGACAGAGAGGAGUGAAUGGCAUGAGCCUCAAAUGAUCAGAAUCUUUACUAAAGAAUUGGCGAUGAUGAUAUAAAGCUCGAAAUAGGGAGCAGGGAAGAAUGUGGUAAGUAAACAGCCUUCAUUUGAGAUGGCUGCAGGGCAUAUGUAUCUUUAAGGGGCACUUGGUUUUCACUGGAGGCAAAGAGGCAAAAGGAACCUUUUCCAGAUGGAGUUGAGAAUAUAGGACAGGGGAAAACAGGUAGUCUGUACUCAGUAAAUGCUAUUUAUUUAUUGAACAAUAAUAAAAAGUCGAUGGAAACACUAAUAUUAUGUCCACGUCCCUUUUGGUUUUUAUAUGUAUUGGUGUUUGGAAUGGAGUAUACAUACUACACAUGGAUUUUAAUAAUCUCAGCAUUAAUGAGAUGAGGCCAGGAGUACUAGGAUGGGUAAGGGAAACGAUCAGAACCAUGGUGAAAUCAUGGCAAAAUUUCUAAGUCAAAUGAAACAUUUACUGUCUUAAGACUAUAGAAUUCUAUUUGUAAAUGUGAUAGAUUGAUUAUGUACAUGUUGGAAUUGUUUCCCUACGUGUCUGUUGCUGCUUAAAGAAAAUGCUUCAAAGUUUUAUAUUGUUUGAGUUAAUGAUCAUAUGAUCACAUUUAUAAAUUACCAAGAUAGUGUAAACAUUGCUUUCUCUUUAAAAUAAUGAUUCAUUUAAUCUAAGUGGGAAAACUAAAUAAAAAUUGUUUUUUUAUUGAA